UGUAUUGGUAUCCGUCGUCUGCUAUUUAUUUACAGUGUGUUAGAUGUGUCAUUGCAAUUAUUUAACUUGGUGGAUUGCUGUGUUUUAGGUUCCUAAAAAAACCCUGAAUAGCCUAGGAAAGUUUAAGUCUAUUAUUUCAUGAUCACCAUGAAUCUCAAGCAGUUAAAUAAUUUGGCUAGCAGACUUCAUAUUGGGCUCGUCAAAAUUUGCAUCGCCUCUACACUGGUUGGCACUGCUUUUGUUAUGUAUGGCAUGUAUGAGCUCACAUUUAAAGUAAGGCCUAAACUUUUAGAGGAAGAAAAAUCUGCUAAAGAAGAUUUGUUGAAAGAAGGAAGAGAGACAAUUGUUGAUACUGCCUCGGAGUUGAAGCUGUGAUAGCCCCUAAACACCGGUAGCAGGACUUUUAAGUAAUGAAUACAACUCUAGACAAAGACCAUAAGACCAGGAAUAUUAGCAUGUGAAAAAUAUAAAGAACGAUGAUGCAUUUACUUGUAAAUACAGGCCAGAAUAUGAAUUACACUCUGAAGAGCUGAAUUAACUUUAGCAGUGUUAAGUUAGGUACUGUAGUUAUUAAGUACAGUACAUUUAUGCACUAUGCUAUUCGUUAGUCUUUUGUAACAAAAAUGCAAGAUAAAAUUAUGUUAUUUUAA